UUUUUUUUGUUGGACAAAAAAAAAUGUAAAGUUUCAUUGGUAGGGUUCCUGGUUUAGUAGAUUUAUAGUUUGAUGAGGAUUACAUAUCAUAG